GGGAGACCGUGUGGCAACAUUCACCCACAGCUCUGGGGCAGGGUUCCAAAGUCCCAGCGCAGAGAACACACCCUCCUGCAAGCCCCGCCUGCUGCUGUGAACACAGACACCUCUGAAACCAGGUCAGUCCCCACAGCAGCUGGUGCAGUGGUGGCCUGCAGUGCCGGGUGACUGCAGACGUGCUACCCACACUGGAGAGGCCCUGGGCGCUUUCUGUCUGUCUUUCUUCCUCCUGGAGGCCCCGUGGGCACUUGGCCUGAGCCUGGCCUGCUUCGAGGAAUGAGCGAACACCCUCUGCCUCCCUCCCUCUCUGCCCACGUUUAUCCUGGGCUUUCUCUGGGUCUCCACAGCAUGCUACGAAAGAAUGCUACCAACACUGGAGGAGAGGACCGUGGCUUGCGAAUGCUGUGCAGUACAGGAGACAGCAAGAAACAAGGUGCGAUCACCUGCGUCAGGAAUUCUGCGGCAUGUUGUCUGCACGUUUUCCAGGGCACUGAGCAAAUACUUUGCCUUGGAAAACUUAUUUGUGGACUUCUCAGUUCCCUAAUGAAGUGAUAAGCACUUUAAGGACAGGAAUUAUGUCUAUUUUCUCUUGCUGUGCCCUGCAAUGUAUAGCAGAAAACUUUGCACAAAGUAGACAGCCGAUGAAUCUUUUAAAAGUACUCAUGCGCUCGCUCUACGUGGUGGGAAGCCUGCAACGUGGCUCUGUAAUUUCGGCUUUGACAGCACGUUUAGCAAACAUGUUAGGUUUCCACUAUGCAAGAAACCAGAUGAGGAACGUGAGUGACUGUAAACAUUCCUCAGCAGACACAGUAGCACUCAUAGGCAGGAAACAAAAUGUUACUGUCUAAAUGCAAAGCAAGUAUCAAAAGUGCAUGAUACAAAUAAAAAUAUAUUGUCAAAGUAACACUUUAUUUUAAUUAAU